rnacentral:rRNA from 1 species
UACAGAGGGUGCAAGCGUUAAUCGGAAUUACUGGGCGUAAAGCGUGCGUAGACGGUUGCGUAAGUCAGAUGUGAAAGCCCCGGGCUCAACCUGGGAAUUGCAUUCGAGACUGCUCUGCUAGGGUGCGGAAGAGGGAAGCGGAAUUUCCGGUGUAGCGGUGAAAUGCGUAGAUAUCGGAAGGAACACCAGUGGCGAAAGCGGCUUCCUGGUCCAGCACCGACGUCAGGCACGAAAGCGUGGGGAGCAAACAGG